rnacentral:tRNA from 1 species
UCCUCGAUGGUCUAGUGGUGAUGAUUUCCGCUUGUCAUUUGUAAAAAAAUUGCCAAGCGCGGGAGACCAGGGUUCGAUUCCCUGUCGGGGAG